rnacentral:rRNA from 1 species
UCGGGCAGCGGGUGGAGCAUGUGGUUUAAUUCGAAGCAACGCGCAGAACCUUACCAGCUCUUGACAUUCGGGGUAUGGGCAUUGGAGACGAUGUCCUUCUGUUAGGCUGGCCCCCGAACAGGUGCUGCAUGGCUGUCGUCAGCUCGUGUCGAGAGAUGUUGGGUUAAGUCCCCCAACGAGCGCAACCCUCGCCCUUAGUUGCCAGCAUUUAGUUGGGCACUCUAAGGGGACUGCCGGUGAUAAGCCGAGAGGAAGGUGGGGAUGACGUCAAGUCCUCAUGGCCCUUACGGGCUGGGCUACACACGUGCUACAAUGGUGGUGACAGUGGGCAGCGAGACAGCGAUGUCGAGCUAAUCUCCAAAAGCCAUCUCAGUUCGGAUUGCACUCUGCAACUCGCGUGUAGGAGGUUUGAAUCGCUAGUAAUCGCAGAUCAGCAUGCUGCGGUGAAUACGUUCCCGGGCCUUGUACACACCGCCCGU